GUGGGGAAUUUUGGACAAUGGGCGAAAGCCUGAUCCAGCCAUGCCGCGUGCAGGAUGAAGGCCUUCGGGUUGUAAACUGCUUUUGUACGGAACGAAAAGACUCUGGUUAAUACCUGGGGUCCAUGACGGUACCGUAAGAAUAAGCACCGGCUAACUACGUGCCAGCAGCCGCGGUAAUACGUAGGGUGCAAGCGUUAAUCGGAAUUACUGGGCGUAAAGCGUGCGCAGGCGGUUAUAUAAGACAGAUGUGAAAUCCCCGGGCUCAACCUGGGAACUGCAUUUGUGACUGUAUAGCUAGAGUACGGCAGAGGGGGAUGGAAUUCCGCGUGUAGCAGUGAAAUUCGUAGAUAUGCGGAGGAACACCGAUGGCGAAGGCAAUCCCCUGGGCCUGUACUGACGCUCAUGCACGAAAGCGUGGGGAGCAAACAGGAUUAGAAACCCUGGUAGUCC
rnacentral:rRNA from 1 species